GCCGCUAUCGUCUAUCGGUUAGGACAUAUGGUUCUCAACCAUAAAAGCGGGGUCCGACUCCCCGUAGCGGUA
rfam:Candidatus Wolfebacteria bacterium RBG_13_41_7 RBG_13_scaffold_18041, whole genome shotgun sequence.